rnacentral:rRNA from 1 species
GACGAACGCUGGCGGCGUGCUUAACACAUGCAAGUCGAACGGAAAGGCCCUGCUUCUGUGGGGUGCUCGAGUGGCGAACGGGUGAGUAACACGUGAGUAACCUGCCCUUGACUUUGGGAUAACUUCAGGAAACUGGGGCUAAUACCGGAUAGGAGCUCCUGCUGCAUGUUGUGGGUUGGAAAGUUUCGGCGGUUGGGGCUGGACUCGCGGCUUAUCAGCUUGUUGGUGGGGUAGUGGCUUACCAAGGCUUUGACGGGUAGCCGGCCUGAGAGGGUGACCGGCCACAUUGGGACUGAGAUACGGCCCAGACUCCUACGGGAGGCAGCAGUGGGGAAUAUUGCACAAUGGGCGGAAGCCUGAUGCAGCAACGCCGCGUGCGGGAUGACGGCCUUCGGGUUGUAAACCGCUUUCGCCUGUGACGAAGCGUGAGUGACGGUAAUGGGUAAAGAAGCACCGGCUAACUACGUG